UACGUAGGGGCUAGCGUUAUCCGGAUUUAUUGGGUUUAAAGGGUGCGCAGGUUGUUUGAUAAGUCAGUGGUGAAAGUCUGUCGCUUAACGGUAGGAUUGCCAUUGAUACUGUUGGACUUGAAUAUGGAUGAGGUAGGCGGAAUGUGUAGUGUAGCGGUGAAAUGCAUAGAUAUUACACAGAGCACCGAUUGCGAAGGCAGCUUACUAAUCCAUCAUUGACGCUGAGGCACGAAAGCGUGGGGAUCAAACAGGA
rnacentral:rRNA from 1 species